GGAGAGGUGACGGAGUGGUUGAACGUGGCGGUCUCGAAAACCGUUGGGCGCGCAUGUGCCCCGUGGGUUCGAAUCCCACCCUCUCCGCCA
rnacentral:tRNA from 1 species